rnacentral:rRNA from 1 species
AUUGAACGCUGGCGGUAGGCUUAACACAUGCAAGUCGAGCGGUAACAGAGAUAGCUUGCUAUCUGCUGACGAGCGGCGGACGGGUGAGUAACGCGUAGAAAUCUACCAAGUAGUGGGGGACAACCAGUGGAAACGCUGGCUAAUACCGCAUACGCCCUACGGGGGAAAGCGGGGGAUCUUCGGACCUCGUGCUAUUUGAUGAGUCUGCGUCGGAUUAGCUUGUUGGUGAGGUAAAGGCUCACCAAGGCGACGAUCCGUAGCUGGUUUGAGAGGAUGAUCAGCCACACUGGGACUGAGACACGGCCCAG